rnacentral:rRNA from 1 species
GAUGAACGCUAGCUACAGGCUUAACACAUGCAAGUCGAGGGGUAACGAGAGGAAAGCUUGCUUUCCUUGUCGACGACCGGCGCACGGGUGAGUAACGCGUAUCCAACCUGCCCCCAACUAGGGAAUAACCUUUCGAAAGUAAGACUAAUACCCUAUACUUUCCUCAGAUGUCAUCUGACGAGGAAUAAAGAUUUAUCGGUUGUGGAUGGGGAUGCGUCUGAUUAGCUUGCUGGCGGGGUAACGGCCCACCAAGGCAAAGAUCAGUAGGGGUUCUGAGAGGAAGGUCCCCCACAUUGGAACUGAGACACGGUCCAGACUCCUACGGGAGGCAGCAGUGAGGAAUAUUGGUCAAUGGGCGGAAGCCUGAACCAGCCAAGUAGCGUGCAGGAUGACGGCCCUAUGGGUUGUAAACUGCUUUUAUACAGGAAUAAAGUUAGCCACGUGUGGUUAUUUGUAGGUACUGUAUGAAUAAGGACCGGCUAAUUCCGUGCCAGCCGCCGCCGUAA